rnacentral:rRNA from 1 species
CCUACGGGCGGCUGCAGUGAGGAAUAUUGGUCAAUGGCCGGAAGGCUGAACCAGCCAAGCCGCGUGAAGGACGAAGGUGCCAAGCAUUGUAAACUUCUUUUGUCAGGGACGAAGCAAGUGACGGUACCUGACGAAUAAGCCACGGCUAACUACGUGCCAGCAGCCGCGGUAAUACGUAGGUGGCAAGCGUUAUCCGGAUUUACUGGGUGUAAAGGGCGUGUAGGCGGGGAAGCAAGUCAGAUGUGAAAACCACGGGCUCAACCUGUGGCCUGCAUUUGAAACUGUUUUUCUUGAGUGCUGGAGAGGCAAUCGGAAUUCCGUGUGUAGCGGUGAAAUGCGUAGAUAUACGGAGGAACACCAGUGGCGAAGGCGGAUUGCUGGACAGUAACUGACGCUGAGGCGCGAAAGCGUGGGGAGCAAACAGGAUUAGAUACCCCAGUAGUC